rnacentral:rRNA from 1 species
GGAGUUAGCCGGUGCUUCUUCUGUGAGUGAUGUCCUUCCUGCCGGUUAUUGACCCGCAGGCCUUCUUCCUCACUGAAAGUGCUUUACAACCCGAAGGCCUUCUUCACACACGCGGCAUGGCUGGAUCAGGGUUGCCCCCAUUGUCCAAUAUUCCCCACUGCUGCCUCCCGUAGGAGUCUGGGCCGUGUCUCAGUCCCAGUGUGGCUGAUCAUCCUCUCAGACCAGCUACGGAUCGUCGCCUUGGUGAGCCGUUACCUCACCAACCAGCUAAUCCGACAUAGGCUCAUCCGAUAGCGCGAGGCCCGAAGGUCCCCCGCUUUCCCCCGUAGGGCGUAUGCGGUAUUAGCCUGGGUUUCCCCAGGUUAUCCCCCACUACCGGGCAGAUUCCUAUGCAUUACUCACCCGUCCGCCGCUCGCCACCAGGGAGCAAGCUCCCCGUGCUGCCGCUCGACUUGCAUGUGUUAGGCCUGCCGCCAGCGUUCAAUCUGACGACAGACAACUAACUCUACUACGUAGACGGCGGUCGGUCGGACGACGGGCGACUAGUAG